GCGGGAGUAGCUCAGUUGGUAGAGCGCAACCUUGCCAAGGUUGAGGUCGCGA
rnacentral:tRNA from 1 species